ensembl:lncRNA
UGGCUGGGCAUGGACUGGAUGGUCUGAAUUUUAAGAAACUGGAGUGGGCAUGAAGUGGGACAAGGCCUUUCAAAUUCUGCAUGACCUCAGAUGUUACCAAAGAAGUGUGUUUUCAUUGAGUCACUGAAGGUAUAGGAGCUGCAGUCUCAGCUGAUGGGAUUCAUUAUUGUAAUUGUGUCAGGAAGCCAUACUGUUUCACAGUUUCAUAGUUCUUCUCACACUACAUUUUUGCGUUUUGUUUUAUAAAACUAUUUGUGCUUAUUAUGGUAGUGGUUGAGGGUGACAAGGGUAGAACAAUGCUGUGGUAGUCACAUUCAAGAAGAGACACUGAAAGCUGAAGAGAUUUAUCUGAUUAAAAAAUGCCACCAAAAUGUCACAUGUGAGACAGCGAUUUGUUGGUUUCCUCACUCACCAAGCAGAGAUCAGGGAUGUUGCCACAUGAGUAUAGUGAUUAGUGAGGCCUGCAGGACCAGCUCUGUGCCUAGGAGAGUCCAUGAGCACUGUGUGUGGUGGUCAACGAGAAACCCUGCAGGCAAGGAGGAGUUGUAGGCCCUUUCUUCUUGCCUGCUUCACCUUUUCUCCUGGCUGUAGGGAGAAAGACUUCUCAAUUUCCAAUCCAUAGCCCAAGCUAUGGAUCCCUCUUAUAAAGGCCUCACUACUCUGCUUUUGAGGAAAUGCGAUGGUGUUGGUUUUUUUCUUUCAAUAUGGCUUAGAAUGCGUGGUGAGUAUACUGUGAGAUGGCUUAAGCUAUGGAAAUCCUGGGCUCGGUAAUUCCUUUGAUCGAGGAUUGUACCCUAUACAUACCUGUACAUCCCAGAAAGAGGACUAAGACCUUAUGGUAGGUUCUGUUUGCACUGUUCAAAUGGGACUUUGCACCAAAAGGAGGCAGGCCGAGCAGCCUUUCUCUGACUGGAGGUGUUUAGGAGGAAGUGCUGAUUCUCAUAUUAUUUUGUGUAUUGUUCCACCAGCUUCACGGGCAGUGCCUGUGCUAAACCCAAGAUUUUAUAGACCUUGUUUUACUUUCAUUGUUAAUGCUGGGCAAAAAAAAAAAAAAAAAAAUGCACAUACAUUCACCUCCUUCUAUUGCACAAGGGAACCAGGAAUAUUUUUGCAGCAGAGUCAUCAUUUGGCUCCAAACAACAAAAGAGUAUUUAUUCAGCCUUGGGACAUAAUAUAAUCUAAAGAGGGACAAGUGAUAUUUCAGAAGGAGCAUGGCUGUUUUCCAGCUCAGCCUUUGCACUGACUAGACCUGAAAGUGGGAAUGCUUUCUCUGUGGGCUACCAUACAGAAGAGCUGCCCAAUGCCUGCAGCCCCAAACCCAUUCUCUUAGAUGAUCCUUCAAAACUCGAGCUGUGGUGGGAAGGCACCACUCUUUGAUUGCCUCAAGGUCUGAAUGAGUGUGCAACCUCGUGAUGAAGAAAAUUGCAGCAUUCAUCAUUUGCAUUCAGUGGCUCCAUUUGUAUCAUCAGAAAUCCCUUUUUGUGCAUUGACUACAAGAGCAUAGAAAGCUAAAUUAUAGUUCCUGAAACUCAUGUUGCCCUUGAGCUGUUUCAGAGCAGUUCCUCGCCCCUGCAAGAGUGUACACUGUGUUCCUGAAAGCAGGGCUGUGGGAGGAAGGAAGCGUAAAAUAUGUCUGAAACACAGUUCCUGAACUGCCCUGGGAUACAGAAGCUUGCUCCAUG